rnacentral:rRNA from 1 species
UACAUAGGGUGCGAGCGUUGUCCGGAAUUAUUGGGCGUAAAGAGCUUGUAGGUGGUUUGUCGCGUCUGCUGUGAAAACCUAAGGCUCAACCUUGGGCUUGCAGUGGGUACGGGCAGACUAGAGUGCGGUAGGGGUGACUGGAAUUCCUGGUGUAGCGGUGGAAUGCGCAGAUAUCAGGAGGAACACCGAUGGCGAAGGCAGGUCACUGGGCCGCAACUGACGCUGGAGGAAGCGGAAAGCAUGGGGAGCGAACAGG